GGGAAUGACAGGGCAAGGUGGCAGGGUGAGAGGGUGGCAGAGUGAGAGGGAGUGAGGGAUGACAUGUGGGCUGGAAGGGGGAUGACAGGAUGAGAGGUGGGGUGGCAGGGUGACAGGUGGGGUGGCAGUGUGAGAGAGGGGUGACAGGAUGAGAUGGGGUGACAGAGUGAGGUGGCCGGGUGAGGGAGUGACAGGGUGAAGUGGCAGGGUGAGAGUGACAAGUGGGGUGAUA